ACCUCUGAUCACCUUUUUAGUGAUAUUUUUGUUAUAAACUACACUGAGUUUCAGAUCCACGAUUAUUAAUGAACUCAAAUGCUUAAUGUCAAAAAUUGCAAAUGCAUGGAGGCAAUCAAAAGCUGAAAGCAGUCCAGUAAUAAAGUUGCAGACAUAAAAUACAUGAUCACAGCUUUAAAAUCUAUCAUCCUCCCCUCCUCCCCUUGCCAGAAAAAUAAAAUAAAAUAAAAUAAAACAAAUAGUGGGCUAAUUUAUAACUAAAUGUGGGAGCAGCUGAAAGCGGACAAAUGAGAAGGUUGUGAGCAUAAAGACAUCACCACAGCAUUAAGCUCUAUCAUUUUCUCCCCCAAGGGAACAAAUGAAUUGGAGGCUAAUUUAGAACUAAAUGAGAUCAGAAGCUUCAGGCACCAAACCUAUAAACAUAAGCUUCAAAUACCUCUUCAGUUUGGAUAAUAAGUACUCUAUAUUCGUUGAAUCUAAAGUCUUAAGGUUUUUGCACUUCCUGAAAGGAGGUAAGAGUUCUUCUAGCCUAUGUUUACCUGUAACUAAAAUUUUAGAUUUAUUGCUAGUCAAUCCCAGAUGCAUGCACAAACACCACUCUGAGACUUCAGUUCUAUUAAGUUCUUAUUUUAUUUAACCAGGUAUUGAGAUCUGAGCUUGCACUUGAACCUUUUCUUUUAUAAUCUCUCUCUUAAUCCGGUGAAUUUCAGUCAGUAAGAGAGUUGUGGGAUACUGCAUAACAAGAGUUGCAUGCCAAAUUGGUGAUUGGGUUAUGUAGGAUUCAUGACAUCUUGAAUAUGCCACAAUAUAAAUUUGAACACCAUCAUACAACUCAAACAUUAAUAAAUCGGAAAUGCAUAUUCAAAUGAUUGGAUUACAAAAUAAAAA